UACGUAGGUCCCGAGCGUUGCCCGGAUUUAUCGGGCGUAAAGCGAGCGCAGGUGGUUUAUUAAGUCUGGUGUAAAAGGCAGUGGCUCAACCAUUGUAUGCAUUGGAAACUGGUAGACUUGAGUGCAGGAGAGGAGAGUGGAAUUCCAUGUGUAGCGGUGAAAUGCGUAGAUAUAUGGAGGAACACCGGUGGCGAAAGCGGCUCUCUGGCCUGUAACUGACACUGAGGCUCGAAAGCGUGGGGAGCAAACAGG
rnacentral:rRNA from 1 species